rnacentral:lncRNA from 1 species
UAUAUGUAUUUACACACACUACAAUAGAAUUAGAUUAUAGAAACACAUUUUUGAAACACUUUUAUGUAAUUGUCCUAUUUAUACUAAAACCUUUUUAAAAAAUCUACUAAAAUCUAAAUAUAAAGCUCAAUCGAAUCAAAAGCAAAAAGUUUUUCUACUCAACCAACUCCACCCAGCCCACUCGGCCCGAUUACAAAUAGAAAAGGAAAAAAAAAAAAAUUAUAUACCAUCUCCCCUUAUUCCUCUUCUGCCGCCGCAGCCGACGAGGUAGGGUUUCAACGGCUGGAGUUCAGUUGCGAGGAUCUUGUAGGGACUGUAGAGGGCUACGAUCGCCACGUGUAUUUCCGCCACAGGUUGAUGAAGGAAUGUGUGCCAAAUAUCAAGACGACCCUACAUAUAGUGACUCAACAUAUAGUAACACUUUUAGAAAGUAUCGGUAACUUAGCUAGCAACACUUUUUUAAACAUAUAUUGAUAUUUAAAAAAUAUCGCUAUAUAUCAUUUUUAUUGUAGUGUGUACACACACAAAAAGAGACAGAAGAAAAGAAAGAAGAAGAUAAACAUAAGGAGGCGCUACAUG